rnacentral:snRNA from 1 species
UUGCUUUGGCAGCACAUAUACUGAAAUUGGAAUGAUAUAGAGAUGAUUAGCAUGGUCCCUGCUUUUAAAAAUUAAUAAUAUUCCUUU